CUCAGGGUGUCCCUUGUUCAGUCAGGAUUUUACAGGAAGCACUGGACAUAGAGCCAGAAGAGCUGGGCUGGAAUCGUCAACAUUUGCUGACUGAGAGAUCUCAGGCUACCUGGCUUUCCAGGCCAUGAAGCAAGCCGUGGUCCAGUCCCCACAGAGGAGCUCUGCAGCCAAACACACUUCUAGGCACGAAGAUAUACAACAGGGAAGGAGAAAAGGUAUGAUGAUCCCCGUCCCCAUGGAGCUCACGGGCUAGCGAGGACGGACGCCAUCCGCAUGAAGACAGGAAACACACUGAACAUGCCCCGCAAGCCUGCAGGGAAGGCUCCCUGGGGAGGAAGUACAUAUGCAGAGGUCUGGCCAUGAGCGGCUUAGCACACAUACCCGAGGGACACUGCGGAGAACUCCUGCGUACCCCAUCAGUACCCCAAGAUCAAUACAGCGCCGGCUGAAUGUGUGAUUUCCCUGGUCCUUUCCUCCUCGGGGCCCUUUAUGAUACCUCCCUAGUCGCCCAGCCCAGGGACCUGGAUAUCAUUCUCUCUGCUUUUCCUUCACUACCGCGCCACAUGGCCAUUCAUCAAAUCCUCAGGAUCGUUCCUUGUCAAAUCUCAGAAAUCUUUCCACUGGGGAGCUAUGUAUGGUGGGGAGAGAAGGCAUAAGAGUACUCUGUACUUUCUGCUCAAUUCCCAAAACCGCUCU